rnacentral:misc_RNA from 1 species
CUGGAGAAGAUUGAUCUGUGUUUCGCCUGGUAAUACUUCAUUUAUGAUAUUUUGAGUCGAAAGUCAAAAGUCAAAAGUCCAAGAAGUCAGAAAAUUGACUUUAUAGACUUUAAGGACUUUACAGACUAUAGACUCAUUACGUUCUUUGACAUACUGGCAAUAAACAAUUUAAAAAGAGAAAUUAGUAAGAUUAUAUUCG